rnacentral:tRNA from 1 species
GGUGUCGUAGCUCAGUUGGUAGCAGCGUCUGUUUGAAGCACAGAAGGUCGGAGGUUCAAAUCCUUCCGGCACCACAA